GACGUAGGGCGCGAGCGUUGUCCGGAUUUAUUGGGCGUAAAGAGCUCGUAGGCGGCUUGUCGCGUCGGCUGUGAAAACCCGCGGCUCAACUGUGGGCGGGCAGCUGAUACGGGCAGGCUGGAGUUCGGUAGGGGAGACUGGAAUUCCUGGUGUAGCGGUGAAAUGCGCAGAUAUCAGGAGGAACACCGGUGGCGAAGGCGGGUCUCUGGGCCGAUACUGACGCUGAGGUGCGAAAGCCAGGGGAGCGAACGGG
rnacentral:rRNA from 1 species